rnacentral:misc_RNA from 1 species
GAAAUGCGAUAAGUAAUGUGAAUUGCAGAAUUCAGUGAAUCAUCGAAUCUUUGAACGCACAUUGCGCUCGCCAGUAUUCUGGCGAGCAUGCCUGUUCGAGCGUCAUUUCAACCAUCAAGCUCUGCUUGCGUUGGAGAUCCGCGGCUGUCCGCGGUUCCUCAAAAUCAGUGGCGGGCUCGCUAGUCACACCGAGCGUGGUAACUCUACAUCGCUAUGGUCGUGCGGCGGGUUCUUGCCGUAAAACCCCCCAUUGCUAAGGUUGACCUCGGAUCAGGUAGGAAUACCCGCUGAACUUAA